UACGUAGGGUGCAAGCGUUGUCCGGAAUUAUUGGGCGUAAAGAGCUCGUAGGCGGUUUGUCGCGUCUGCUGUGAAAACUCGGGGCUUAACUCCGGGCCUGCAGUGGGUACGGGCAGACUAGAGUGCGGUAGGGGAGACUGGAAUUCCUGGUGUAGCGGUGAAAUGCGCAGAUAUCUGGAGGAACACCGGUGGCGAAGGCGGCAUCCUGGACCAAUUCUGACGCUGAGGAGCGAAAGCGUGGGGAGCAAACAGG
rnacentral:rRNA from 1 species